AUUGAACGCUGGCGGCAGGCCUAACACAUGCAAGUCGAGCGGAUGAAGGGAGCUUGCUCCUGGAUUCAGCGGCGGACGGGUGAGUAAUGCCUAGGAAUCUGCCUGGUAGUGGGGGAUAACGUCCGGAAACGGGCGCUAAUACCGCAUACGUCCUGAGGGAGAAAGUGGGGGAUCUUCGGACCUCACGCUAUCAGAUGAGCCUAGGUCGGAUUAGCUAGUUGGUGGGGUAAAGGCCUACCAAGGCGACGAUCCGUAACUGGUCUGAGAGGAUGAUCAGUCACACUGGAACUGAGACACGGUCAAGACUCCUACGGGAGGCAGCAGUGGGGAAUAUUGGACAAUGGGCGAAAGCCUGAUCCAGCCAUGCCGCGUGUGUGAAGAAGGUCUUCGGAUUGUAAAGCACUUUAAGUGGGGAGGAAGGGCAGUAAGUUAAUACCUUGCUGUUUUGACGUUACCAACAGAAUAAGCACCGGCUAACUUCGUG
rnacentral:rRNA from 1 species